GGCAAAGAUUAGUCGCGUUAAAUAAUUCUGACAAUUACUUUAUGAGCCUAAUGGUACUACCCAGGGAUGCGUCCUUUCCAUUACAUUUAUAACGUU